rnacentral:misc_RNA from 1 species
AAGUCGUAACAAGGUCUCCGUAGGUGAACCUGCGGAGGGAUCAUUACCGAGUGAGGGCCCUUGCUGGUCCGACCUCUCAUCCCAAACCCCUUCCAUGUUGCCUUGGGGGUGCCCCGGCCACCUCGGUCCCGGCCCCCCAGGGGUUUAUCCAAUCCUGACUUCUUACGUCCGAGUAUCGUUUAGAAUCUAAACAAAACUUUCAACAACGGAUCUCUUGGUUCUG